GACCCUUUAUUAUCUCAUCAGCAAUUACAGAGUACCCAUUUUUGGUAGAAUACUGUUCAUGCAAUAUGUUGAAUAAUGAUGGGAACACAGUUCAUGAGAGACAUUGAAGUAUUCAUGGAUAUGAACUUCCUUGAUAAUUUUGCUCUUGAGAUCCAUGUAUAAUGGGCAUUUAUUUGGAAGAGAAGAAAGCUGGAAACUCUCAUAAAGAUUUGAUCCAAAGCCUUUUAUUUAAAAUGAGUCUACCACUAUGAAGCUUGACCUUGGUCUUUAUUCCCAUUCACUUAGCAGACACUCUCUCCUCCCCCUGCUUCUGUCAUACGAAGAACAUGUUUUCUUCUCUGAGCAUUACCUUGAAGUUACCUUUAUUCAAGGUCAUAUUUCAUUACCUAGCAAUAGGUUCUUCCUAUGUAGCCACACAUAAGAAAGAAGAGCUGAUCUUAUCUUCAGAUGGCCAGGAAAAGGGCCAUGAGCUAUGGUGAUGGUAAUAUUGUACUUUGACCUAAUGGAAGUGGUUUAGGAAAAAUCUAUAAGAAAGGGCACCUUGAACAGCUCUAAGGAAGGAAAAUAUUAUGGUGUUUCUCAACAAAUAGGGUUCCUGACAAGAAGGAGCACAUACCAGGAGAAGAACUGUAGAAACAUCAGUGAUGAAUUCACCCUCACUGCAACUUUGCUUCCUUCCAAUCUGACUGGGGAAGUUCCAGUGGGCAGCAAAGCAACCUAUUGGAGAGCCAAGGAAAGCUUUCAAUGACCAUCUAGAUAAUCAAGCUCAUGUGGUACAACCAGCUCAUCCAGAAGUUCCUGAGAUAUUCCUGGCUUUGGCACUGAAUGUCUCACAUCCUGGGAAUCUCAUCGGUCUCAGGCACACGAGGGUGGUUGGUCAUCCUAGCUCAUACUCCUGAUUCUGGGAACACCACCAUCUUAAUCACACAUAAUUAUGCUAGAAAAUGUUCAUAAAGUCAUUAUUAUUAGGUACCAAGCUCAAAUAAUUUGAAUAUGUUAGUCAGGAUUCUUCAGAGAAACAGAACUAAUGAGAUAUAUACAGAUACGUAAGGGAAGAUUUAUUUGUGGGAAUUGGCUCAUAUGGCUAUGGAGGCUGAGGAGUUUCAUGAGCUGUUGUUGAGAAGCUGGAGGUGUUAUUCAGUCUGAGUCCUCUGGCCUGAGCACCAUGUAAGUUAAUGGUCUAACUUCCUGUCUUGGACUGAAGGCCUCAGAACAGCAAGGGCCACCUGUUUAAAUGCUAGAGUUCAGAGAACCUGGAUGUCUGAUGUGGGAGGGCAGGAAAGGAUCAAUGUCUUAGCUCAAGAAGAAAAAAGGAAUUUGCUCUUCUUCUGCCUUUUUGUUCUACAGGGCACUCACCAGGUUUGAUAAUGUCCACGCUCACUGGUGAGGACCAUCUGCUUUAUUCAGUCUAUUAAUUUAAAUGCUUGUCUCAUUGGGAAACACCCUCAAAGACACACCCAGAAAUUGUGCUUUUCCAGCUAUCUGGGUAUCACUUAGACCAUUCAAGUUGAUGCAGAAAACGAACCAUCACAGUGGGGUUCAAACUCCUAUCUCUUUUUUUCUUCCUAUGUUUCCCAAGUUUCUGGGCCAUCCCCAUAGGAAGUCACAGUGUCCUGUAUUUUUUCGGUAACAUUCCUGUAGAAUGUUUCCUCUCCUUCCCAGUCCUUGGAAUUGUUCUCAGUUUUAAUUUUAGAAACCAAUUCACUCUAGGAACUUCACUUCCUACACUUAUUGUUUGGUGCUAUGUGAGAAGACUCUCCAAGGGGGCUGAGAAGCAAGAGAUUUCAGAGGUGUCACUCUGAAAUGCAAAGUGUGGUGUUGACUUCAGGAACACCAGGUCUCUGGUCCUGAGAGAGGACAACAUACUGACUAUUCUCCCAGUGGUGGGGUCAGGGUGGCAUAUUCCAAUUUUCACAGCACUUGUAAAAUGUAUGUGUGCUCUUGUUCUGAC
rnacentral:lncRNA from 1 species